ACUCCUACGGAAGGCAGCAGUGGGGAAUCUUGCGCAAUGGGCGAAAGCCUGACGCAGCGACGCCGCGUGGGUGACGAAGGCCUUCGGUUGUAAAGCCCUGUGGGGUAGAACGAACUGGCAUCGGGCUAAUAUCCCGGUGUCUUGACGGUACUGCCUUAGCAAGCAUCGGCUAACUCUGUGCCAGCAGCCGCGGUAAUG
rnacentral:rRNA from 1 species